GUAACAAAACCUACAUGGAAAAAAGAUUGAUGUAACAGUAUGGUAUGCGACAUGUAAAGAACUAAAGCAAGCACAAUUUGGUCUACACAGUCGUCAUAUAUGAAGUCUAAUUGCUAAAACGAAGGAGAUCCUGACUCAUUCUUAAUCUUCGUUCGUUAUUCAAAUAUGUAACAAAACUCAUAUGGGUGCGUAACAUGUAAAGAACUAAAGCAAGCAUAAUUUUGUCCACAUGAAAGUCGUAUAUGAAGUUUUAUUUCUAAAACAAAGGUAAUUUUACGUAAAUUAACUGAGAUUCUGUAUUUACAUUUCUAAUUUAACAAAUUUGAUACCGAAGCAUUACGUAGUAUGAAGUAUGACUAUAAACAAAUAAAUGUUUAUUUCAUUCCAAAUGAAAAUCGUUUGAAUAAUUCUAUAAGUGACUUUUAAAGCUGUAUUUAAUACCACGACUGGAAAGUAGGUUUCAUUUUUUGUUUCAAAUUAUGACCAUAAAAUU